AUUUCUUCUCAGCCUUUUGGCUAAGAUCAAGUGCAGUAUCUGUUUUUAUCAGUUUAAAGACCGUGUGUGUGUGUGUUUGUGUGUGUGUGUGUGUGUGUGUGUGUGUGUGUUUAAGAUAGGGUCUCACUCUGUCACCCAGGCUGGAGUGCGGUAACAAAAUCUCAGCUCACUUCAGCCUUGACUUC
rnacentral:snRNA from 2 species